CUUUAUUUUUAUGAAUAUUUAUUUUCAUUUUUUGCCGAAAUAUUAGAUUAAUAUACAAAUCAUGUUAAUAACUGAACAGCUUCAUAAUUUAAUCAGUUCAAAACUUAUGAAAUUAUAAUUGCUCCUAACCACGUUAUUUUUUAAAUGUUUCGAAGUUUACCUUGUGAACUAUAAAUUAGUUCAAGAGAUUGAAGAUUUGAAGUUUUUAUACAAAAUAAUCGAAAUUAAACUAAUAUAUCUGAGCCAAGAAACCCUUUUAUUAUAUAAACAAUGUUGUGGAAGUGAAAGAACUUUCUUCUUAUAUACCAAAAUCAGUGUAUUGGACAUUUUUUAAUGUACUUUCUCUUUUUAUUGACAUCAUUUUCUUUGUGACUUUGUGUGAUAGAAUAGAACCACCAAAGAAAAUAUGACGUUUGUGAUUUGAUAAACUCCUGGGAAUUCAAUGGAAAAUUAAUAAUAAUGUAUUACC